GACAGAGGGUGCAAACGUUGCUCGGAAUCACUGGGCGUAAAGGGCGUGUAGGCGGGAAGGAAAGUCAGAUGUGAAAUCCCCAGGCUCAACCUGGGAACUGCAUUUGAAACUCCCUUUCUUGAGUACCGGAGAGGAAAGUGGAAUUCCUGGUGUAGAGGUGAAAUUCGUAGAUAUCAGGAGGAACACCAGUGGCGAAGGCGGCUUUCUGGACGGUAACUGACGCUGAGACGCGAAGGCGUGGGGAGCGAACGGG
rnacentral:rRNA from 1 species